UGUAUUGAACAAUAUGAAACGCAAAGCUAAUAACUAUAACGUGUUGUUUAGGUAAUCCAUACCGAACAGUGAAAAUAUAACUUACUGUGCUGAUGUUGUUCAACUAUACCGGCACGAUUUUUUUUUUUGAUAUUGUUGAAAUGUUUUGCAUCCUUUUGUCAAAUGGUUUUGACACAUGUGCCUUUUACCAUAUAUAACUUAUUUCCAACAGUUUGGUAAACAGUAACCCACCUUGGUAUUUGUGAGUGAUUUUUAUUAGGCACGCCUAAAAAAUUAUCAGUAGCUGCAAGCGAAUGAAAGAACUUUUAAUAUUUAUAUUGAAAGAAUAAUGCAUAUGUUUUUACAGAAUUAUUGUUACAUAUUCAAAAAAAAAAACUCUAAUUGUUUUCUUUUAAGCAAAAAUUUUUAAAAAUAUAAAUUAAAAAAAUAUUUUUUAAUUGUUGUACGAAAAAGAUACAAACUCUGAGUUGAUGGUUUUCUAGCGUGCAUUUUUUGCACAGAUUGGAAACCGAUAAAGUUUGAAAAAAAAAAAUAAAAAUAAACAGAAAUCUACUGAGCGUUCGCGAGUUUGUGCUGUUUCCACGGUCUAGAGGUAUUGCCAAGCGGGAUUGUUGCCUACUUCCAAUGCCGCACUGCUUGAAGGCCAUACGGAACCGAAACCAAGUCUGAGACCAUGAGCGGAAGCUGAAUGGAAAGCGUCGUCAUAUCAUCGUCCCACUGCUCUCAGUUUCUGGAAAAUGAGACCAAUUUCGAAUCGGAGGAUCAUCAAAACAGCUAUUUGUCUUCCGCUGAUCUCCUAUUCACAGAAAAAUAUCAAGGAAGAUGUCAACCCUUCUAGAAGUUAUCUGGUGGAAGCGGAAGUGGAUGCUACGAGUGCUCAUGCAUGAAAUCAACUCGGAUGCGUUAGAUAAUCCGGAUGGCUGGGUUUUGGACCAAACAACUAAAGCUUGUGCGCAGCGUAUUUCGGAAAAAUGCUGUGACUAUGGAUCGCUCCUGUUACCUGAAUAAUUCCUGAUUUAUUAUUAAGGGCCCAUUCACAAAUUUCAUAACG